AUGCAGGAUGAAUACUCGGCGUUGAUGCAGAACAGGACGUGGAUCCUCGUCCCUCGGCCCCCUGGUGCCAACAUCGUGACCGGGAAAUGGCUCUUUCGACACAAGUUCAAGUCUGACGAAAGCCUGGAACGCUACAAGGCAAGAUGGAUGGUGCGGGGCUUCUCCCAAUGGCCCGGCGUCGACUUCGACGAGACCUUCUCGCCGGUCAUCAAGGCGGCCACGAUCCACUCCGUGCUCUCCGUCGCGGCGUCUCGCGCGUGGCCCGUUCACCAGAUGGACGUGAGCAACGCCUUUCUUCACGGCCGCCUCGCCGAGCGCGUCUACUGCCAACAGCUGGCUGGCUUCGUCGACGCUGCUCGCCCCGACCACGUCUGCCUCCUCGACAAGUCGCUCUACGGCCUCAAGCAAGCGCCGCGCGCCUGGUUCGCCAGGUUC
rnacentral:rRNA from 1 species